ACUGAAUAAUACGGAAUAAGUGAUGCUUUCUUGAGGGAAAGCAUUGAAAAGGGAAGUCAGUUAAAAGCUGACGCGGUGCCCGCCACUGUAAAAGGGAGUUAACUCACAUGUGUCACUGGAUUUGCUGGGAAGACGUGAGUUAAUGUGGAUCUUGAGCCAGGAGACCUGCUUCUUCCGCAUAAAGCUA
rnacentral:ncRNA from 2 species